CCUACGGGUGGCAGCAGUAGGGAAUUUUCGUCAAUGGGCGCAAGCCUGAACGAGCAAUGCCGCGUGAACGAGGAAGGUCUUCGGAUCGUAAAGGUCUGUUGAAGGGGAAAAAGAGCGGAGAGAGGAAAUGGUCUCCGAUUGAUAUUACCCUUCGAGGAAGUCACGGCUAACUACGUGCCAGCAGCCGCGGUAAUACGUAGGUGGCGAGCGUUAUCCGGAAUGAUUGGGCGUAAAGGGUGCGUAGGCGGCCUGCUAAGUAUGGAGUGAAAGGUACCGGCUCAACCGGUACAGGCUCUGGAAACUGGCGGGCUAGAGAGCAGGAGAGGGCGGUGGAACUCCAUGUGUAGCGGUAAAAUGCGUCGAUAUAUGGAAGAACACCAGUGGCGAAGGCGGCCGCCUGGCCUGUUACUGACGCUGAGGCACGAAAGCGUGGGGAGCAAAUAGGAUUAGAUACCCGGGUAGUC
rnacentral:rRNA from 1 species